UACAGAGGGGGCAAGCGUUGUCCGGACUUACUGGGCGUAAAGCGUGCGCAGGCGGUUAUGUAAGACAGUUGUGAAAUCCCCGGGCUCAACCUGGGAAUUGCAUCUGUGACUGCAUAGCUAGAGUACGGUAGAGGGGGAUGGAAUUCCGCGUGUAGCAGUGAAAUGCGUAGAUAUCAGGAGGAAUACCGAUGGCGAAGGCAGGUCUCUGGGCUAUAACUGACGCUCAUGCACGAAAGCGUGGGGGAGCAAACAGG
rnacentral:rRNA from 1 species